rnacentral:rRNA from 1 species
AACGUAGGGGGCAAGCGUUGCCCGGAUUCACUGGGCGUAAAGCGCGUGUAGGCGGUCUGUUAAGUCGGAUGUGAAAGCUCUGGGCUUAACCCAGAAAUCGCAUCCGAUACUGGCAGACUUGAGGACGGUAGAGGUCGGUGGAAUUCCCGGUGUACCGGUGAAAUGGACAGAUAUCGGGAGGAACACCAGUGGCGAAGGCGGCCGACUGGGCCGAUCCUGACGCUGAGACGCGAAAGCCAGGGGAGCGAACCGG